ensembl:lncRNA
UUUCAACACUUUGGCAGGUCUGAAGGCAAAAGAGUCCAAACCAGGACUAGCAAGGUGUACCUAAUAUAGCUGUUUAGUGUGUGUGUGUGUGUGUGUGUGUGUGUGUGUGUAAAAUAAAUAAAUAAUAUGGUAAUGGCUCUUUCCACUACUGAUAUAUAUAUAUAUAUAUAUAUAUAAGUUAAAUUAGGCUGUAAAACUAAAUCUUACUUUAGAUAAAUUUUAUUUUGUUAUUUCAUAAUGUGUCCUAAACUGUAGUUAAAAUAAAUGUCAGGCUUCCUUUAUUUCACAUAUUGUAGCCUGUAAAUCAGGUUUGAGAGUCAGAGCUGAGGAGAAAACUUUGGCUCUCUCUGCUCCUCCAUCAGUGACCCUCCCCCUCCCCCCGCGCACCUGCACUGCAGCUCGCAAACUUUUGCAGGGCAUGUGACGUCAUUCAGUCCACAGUCGGAGUAGCCGUUUAAGUGGAGCUCUGAAGACUGCAAAGCUUUCUGCAGGUGAAGGAAGCCACGGCAGCAAGCCAAACACAGACGAUAAUGUGGCCCUCACAUGCAGCGAUGACGGCUGUUCUGAUAGUGGUGUUGUAGAUGAAAGUCCCACAGCAGCUACUCCGUGUCGCCCAGAGAAAUGAGAAAGGAGGAGGCAGUGAGAUGGAUGAAGGUGGAAGUUCUGAGCAUUUCUCCUAUCAAAAGAGACCGGAGCACACCAGUGAAGAGAGUGCAGAUGUAGAUGAAGAGAGCAAGGACGCAAGACUGGCUCUGAGGAAAAGAGGAAAAACCAAAGUGGCCAAAGCAAAGGAGAAACCCUGUGUGAAGGUCAAGAGGCCGUGGAGUGGAGAAAACAACAGUACAAAGACGGUUAUCAGCUUUUCUGAUUUGUUAUUUUUAACCCAUACAAACAAAUCAAGUACUUAAUGAUCACUUUGUUGGUGUAAGUCAUGAAAAGUAGUUACACAUACCUCAACAUAUGCAGAUGUUUAAUAAUCCGAGUUCAUUGUAUUUACCAGUUCCCUAAGGAAAGUUUCCCAUUGAAUGUCCCCAUUUAGGUUAAAGUGAGUGUAUUUGUGUUAAAAACGUCCCCAAAAGUCAUAAGAAUAUGGCAUACUAAUGACUAUAGUUGGAUAUGUUUUGGGAUUAUUUUUCUAAAAAUAGUAUCAUGUUCCUUUUUCAGUAUAAAUCUAUCUAUGAAGUCUGUAAACAAUUUAUCAAUGAUCCCCACACUCAAGCAAGGGUUAUGUUAAAAAAAAAAACCUUCAUUAUGUCUAAGAUUUAAAAAUACGGAACAAAUACCAAUCAGAAUGAGGACUAAGAUAAAGAAAUCCAUCCGAAAAGUAGUUACACGUACCUUAACAUAUGCAGAUGUUUAAUAAUCCGAGUUCAUUGUAUUUACCAGUUCCCUAAGGAAAGUUUCCCAUUGAAUGUCUCCAUUUAGGUUAAAGCGGAGUGUAUUUGUGUUUAAAAACGUCCCCAAAAGUCAUAACUAUAUGGCAUACUAAUGACUAUAGUUGGAUAUGCUUUGUAUUUUUUAAAACAAAAUAGUAUCAUGUACCUUUUUUCUGUAUAAAUGUAUACAUGAAGUUCAAGAACAAUUUAUCAAUGAUCACCACACUGAAGAGUUAUGUUGUAAAACCCUUCAUUAUGUCUAAGAUUUGGAAAUAUGAAACAAAUACCAAUCAGAAUGAGGACUAAGAUAAAGCAAUCCAUCCCCCAAAUGAUUACACAUACUUUAACAUAAGCAAAUAUUUAAUAAUCCUAUUCAUUGUAUUUACCAGUUCCCUAAGGAAAGUUUCCCAUUGACUGUCCCCAUUUAGGUUAAAGCGGAGUGUAUUUGUGUUAGAAACGUCCCCAAAAGUCAUAAGAUUCAGCUGUACCAAUAACUAUAGUUGGAUAUGUUUUUGCAAUGUUUAAAUGGAGGUAUAUUUCUGUAUUUAGUGUUAAUCUACCUUUGAGAUCAGUUAAUAGUUAAUGGUCACUGAUCGUUAAUGAUCACUGUACUCUGGUACUAUACCAAUUCAAUUUCAUUUAUGUAUAUCCUUUUGAUUGUCCUCAUUCAGGUUAACGCAGUGCAUUUUUGUUAGAAAUGUCCCCAGAAGUUAUAAGAGUCAUCUUUUUUGGCAGUUUUCAAUUGUCUCUUGUCUAUUUGUUAUUCAUGUUAAAUCUACUCGUAACAUCAGUGAAAACUAAAAUUAAGAAAUCCAUUCUAAAAUCGUACAGCUUGUCUUAUCACUCACAGAUCUUUAAUACUGUACUUAUUGGUGCCCUCAGGUAAAGGAUAUUUUGAUUGGUUCUAAUGUAGGUUAAAGAAGUGUGUUUAUUAAUAAUUAAAUUAAAUCUUUUAUGAUAGGUUUGCUUCAAAGUUUGGAUAGUUUCUGCAAAUGAAAUGAACCCUUAGUAAUUGUGUACAAAUUAUCUGUGUUAACAAUUCAUAGUUGAAAUUAGAAAUUUCUUUUUUCAUUUAAAUAGAAUAUAAAAACUAGGUUAACUGUCUAAUGUUUGCCUAUUUAACUUAUGUUUAUCUACUCAGGGCUAACCAAGCUGAAGCAGCAUCAUGAGAAAUGCCUGAAACGUAAAAAAAAAAAAAAAUCUGCAAAAUCCGGAUUCCUCAAGGAAUGAGAUUGAGUGUCUUCUUUCAGGUAUGGAGGCAACAAAAACACAAUAGAAUAAGAAAACAGAUCAAGAUGAAGACAGGGACCAGGGACUUCUUCCCAGUGAACAUAUUUGGAAGCAAAGUUCUUGCCUUACAAUUUGCUGGUAACAAACACUCAAUAGUACAGAUGAUUUUUUUCCCCACGUUUCUCUGCAUUAAUGAUGUGCAUGUAUACUCCCAAAACAACACAGUAGUAAUAAAUGCAGUCAAAAAUUUAAAUUGUUCUAUGGCCGAGACAAUGGACAUAGUUUUGAUUUCUUCAAGAUAAAUAGAGACCUUAAUUAUUGUUUAGAUUAUUGUUAGAUUGGGUAUUUAACCUUACAUUGUACUUUGAAGGACUUACCUUUAAGGGAAGUAAUAUCCCCAAAACUGACAUAAAAUAACUUGUGUAUGUGUGUAUUGCUGAAGACCCCAAAGGGGAGUAAGUGUCAGGAUGCCUGGGUCGUUGACCCAUGGUUUUGAGUUUAGAAAUGAUAAAUAAUAGUCUUUGGUUUCUUUGUUAGAGUUCUGUCUUUUUGUUUUUUGUCUCUGUGUAAUCCUUAGUUGCUGUCUCCCCUGUCUGCUAUAUCCACUCAGUGUCUGUCUGCCCUGGUCCCAUGUCUCUCUGUUGUAGUGCCUGCCUGUGAGUCUGUCUGUAAGUUCAGUCUGUGUUAUGUUUCCUGUUUUACUUUGAAAGUCCGUGUCUUAUGUUAAUGUAUCUGGUUUUGCUUCCCCUGUUUCGUUAGGCCUGAUUUGCCCCAGCUGUGUUUCCCUCCUGUUACUCAUUCCCUGAUUGCUCCCUCUGUGUAUUUAAGCCCUGUGUUUCUUUGUGUCUGUGUCGCGAUCUACCCUCAUCUUGCUUUGUGUUCUGUCCGUUUGCCAGUGUAAGUUUAUUCUGUAUUCCUUGAUUUGUUACUUUUUGAGUUUAGCAUUAAAGCUGUAUUUGAGUUCACGUUUUGCCUCCGAGUGUCUGCACUUUGGGUCCUCCUACUACCAUCCCUGCCUGCACACAGCCUACACAUGACAGUAAGGUCCCCAAAACUGACAUAAAAUAACUUGUGUAUGUGUGUGUUGCUGAAGACCCCAAAUGGAAGUAAGGUCCCCAAAAGUGGCAUAAAAUAGUUUGUGUAUGUGUGUGUUGCUGAAGACCCCAAAUGGAAGUAAGGUCCCCAAAAGUGGCAUAAAAUAGUUUGUGUAUGUGUGUGUUGCUGAAGACCCCAAAUGGAAGUAAGGUCCCCAAAAGUGACAUAAAAUAGUUUGUGUAUGUGUGUGUUGCUGAAGACCCCAAAUGGAAGUAAGGUCCCCAAAAGUGACAUAAAAUGGUUUGUUUAUCUGUGUAUCGCUGAAGACCCCAAAGUGGACAUUAAACAUUCCCAGUCCCCAAUGGGAAGGUAAAAAUACUGUCUGGACAAAAGUUGCUUAAAAUGAAAAUCUCAAGUGAUUUUUUAUUUCUGUGGUCUUGGAGGAGUAAAACCCAGUUGCCAGCUUGCUUCUAAACCAUACAGAAAGUGGUGUCCCCAAAGGGUGGGAGUUAAGAUAUGCGACCCCAAACGGGACUUAAGCGGGUAUGUGUGUGUGUGUGUGUGUGUGACAGAGAGAGAGAGA